CCUACGGGAGGCAGCAGUGGGGAAUAUUGGACAAUGGGCGAAAGCCUGAUCCAGCAAUGCCGCGUGAGUGAUGAAGGCCUUAGGGUUGUAAAGCUCUUUUACCAGGGAUGAUAAUGACAGUACCUGGAGAAUAAGCUCCGGCUAACUCCGUGCCAGCAGCCGCGGUAAUACGGAGGGAGCUAGCGUUGUUCGGAAUUACUGGGCGUAAAGCGUGCGUAGGCGGCGAUUCAAGUCAGAGGUGAAAGCCUGGAGCUCAACUCCAGAACUGCCUUUGAAACUAGAUUGCUAGAAUCAUGGAGAGGUGAGUGGAAUUCCGAGUGUAGAGGUGAAAUUCGUAGAUAUUCGGAAGAACACCAGUGGCGAAGGCGGCUCACUGGACAUGUAUUGACGCUGAGGCACGAAAGCGUGGGGAGCAAACAGGAUUAGAUACCCUGGUAGUCCACGCCGUAAACGAUGAUAACUAGCUGCCAGGCGUCAUAGAGCUUGGUUGGCGCGAGCGUACGCGAUUAAGUUAGUUCCGCCGUCGGGUAAGGUACGGUCGUUCGAGUAAGUUAAACGUUAACGAAGAAGUUAGACGGCGUUGAGACGUUGCCGACGGACGACCGACGAGGGGAGGUUAGG
rnacentral:rRNA from 1 species